rnacentral:lncRNA from 1 species
GGGGUAGUCUCGAGUCAUUACAAAAAAGUAAGAAAAUACAGCUAAAGACUUGGAGUAGUCACCUGCCUUACUUACUACGAUCGCAGGCUACAGGCCACAGUUGCGGUCAGUCAAAGAUGGUCAGAAACAUAAUCGUGGAGCACAACCACAGUUGCAUCGGCUGCUAUCACAGAUAUCCUCACGCGAUCAUGGCUAAAAGGGAAUGUUGCCCAGG